rnacentral:rRNA from 1 species
AACGCGUAGGUAAUCUACCCUUAUAUUUGGGAUAACAUUGGGAAACUGGUGCUAAUACCGAAUGGUCUUCAUUGCUUUGGGGCGAUGGAGUAAAGGUGGCCUCUUCAUGAAAGCUACCGUGUAGGGAUGAGCCUGCGUACCAUUAGCUAGUAGGUGGGGUAAUGGCCCACCUAGGCGACGAUGGUUAGCGGGUCUGAGAGGAUGAUCCGCCGCACUGGAACAGGAACACGGACCAG